UUGUGAUAAAAGAAUGAAACUUUAUAAAAAAAAAGAAAGAGACCCAAUAACCUAAUAAUGCAAAUUAGUUCUCUCUUGGAGGACUUUGAAUUCAUGAGGGAUGGAAAAGAGGGAUCCUUUACCAGAAGUGCAUCGUUGUCUUGAAUGGAGCAUCGUGGAUCCUUCACCAGAAGUGUUCCAUUGUCUCUAAGACUGCGAUUGGGAUCGACACAGAGGGCGGUGAGUUGGGGAGUAGUUUUCUAUCGGAGUCGGUUUGGAUUAUCAAGUUAUCUGAGGUUGUUGUGCCUCAUUCUACAAUUGCAAACUCAUUCAACAUAUCAUCUAUUCUCAUUCUCCAAUUAGAAAUUAUGCAAUCAUUCAUUGUUAACAACAAUUUUUUAUGGUAAUAAAUCAAACCUCUUAAUGUUAUUUAUUCUACAACUAGAGUAUAUAAAAAUUUAUUUUAAUGGGUCAUCUGCUGGUACAUAGGAUUUUUUUAUGAUAUUUGAUGAGAAAGAAACUCUGUAUUUUUAACCGCUUUGUAGAAAAAGUUUUGUUACGAUUUACUUUUAUUGUGAGGAUAUAAUUUGGUGUUGAUGCUUUGUGCUUUGUGAUGUAAUAAAUCAAUUUUAACCAAUGUGUAUCAAAUGUUUUGAUAUGAAAUUUCAUAUUCUUCAUGAGUUGUAUUUGGGGUUAACAACUAAUGCAAAUUGGCAUCAAGUUGAGGAGGUUCGUGAGCCUAUGAAUGAAGUAAAAGACAAUGUUGUAUCAGUGGAUGCUCAACCAAUUAAGAAAAAAAUGUUAUUACAUAAUAUUAUAGAUAUGGUAAAUUUUUUAAGAUGCAUAGGAAUGUAUGGUUUGGAUCAUUUGGCAAAAUGCUAAGGUUGUUGUGAAUUUUGAUGCAGAGUUUGGAGCGAUAGAAAGUGAAAUACUAGGG
rnacentral:lncRNA from 1 species